CAAGUCCUUUCAAGCUAUGGUAGUAAUUUUUGUUUUGAUCCAUACUGCAAAGGGAAGACUUGACAGUGUCAGAUGAUCUGAUCUGCAUUUUCAAAAGGUUAUUAUGACUGCACAGUGAUAAAUGGAUAGGAAACAUCAUGGCGAAAGAAUAAGAGUGGAUGUAUGGAGAUCAGUUAUGAGGCUGUUUUAGUUGUCUAGAAUUUGAGCCAAUAUAGAGACCAUUGCACCCCAGUCUAAAUCUGACUUUCCUCUGGAGAGUAAGAAGAAAAGGAAGGAGGAGGAAACAUGGACGAUUCUGGCAGAGAGAAGCCGUUACCCAGUGUGGUCCAUGACACAUCUUGGUUGGUUUAGCGAAUGAUACUUGUAAUCAAAUCUCCUAUCAAUAUACAAGAUGCGUGUUUUGGCUAUUAGAAGCUGGUGCAAAAAGAAAUUUUCUGGAGGCACAUUUUGGCAAAGUAGCAAGGGAAGAAAUGGAAAAGAGGUACAAACUUUCUAUUUUGGAUUGUAAACUGCUUAAAGUUUUCAGUCUAGAAGAGUUUCAAAUAUGACUCCUCUCCUGACCAGAUACCUUCAACAGAAUCAAAUGCCUGUGCUUUCUCCCUGUCUUUCAAGAAGGCACAUUGACGUGCUCUCAUCCUGAGCUGCCUAGCUUUAAGUACAAAAUCAGUCUGCAGUGAUGUGCUCAGAAUUUGUGGCUCUUCAGAAUGACGUUUUUCCCCAAGGGUCAUCUCGUUUUGGGAUAACUGCAGACUUUACUUGGGUAUACUUUCAUUCCUUCUUCUUUUACAAAGCCACAGGGUAAAUUCAACAUGACAGUGUGAGUGAUAUGCUUGGUAAAUUUGCACUAACAUAUGCAAAUUUGGGGAGGAAUUAUUUAUAAGGGAGUAAUAUGUUCAAAUUUUUUUAAUAA
rnacentral:lncRNA from 1 species